AGAAUCAACGCUGGCGGCGUGCCUAACGCAUGCAAGUCGCACGAGAAAGGGGAGCAAUCCCUGAGUAAAGUGGCGCACGGGUGAGUAACACGUGAAUCAUCUACCUCCGAGUGGGGAAUAACCUAGAGAAAUCUGGGCUAAUACCGCAUAACACUUACGAGUCAAAGCAGCAAUGCGCUUGGAGAGGAGUUCGCGGCCGAUUAGCUAGUUGGCGGGGUAAUGGCCCACCAAGGCGAUGAUCGGUA
rnacentral:rRNA from 1 species